GAUGAACGCUGGCGGCGUGCCUAAUACAUGCAAGUCGAGCGAACGGACGAGAAGCUUGCUUCUCUGAUGUUAGCGGCGGACGGGUGAGUAACACGUGGAUAACCUACCUAUAAGACUGGGAUAACUUCGGGAAACCGGAGCUAAUACCGGAUAAUAUUUUGAACCGCAUGGUUCAAAAGUGAAAGACGGUCUUGCUGUCACUUAUAGAUGGAUCCGCGCUGCAUUAGCUAGUUGGUAAGGUAACGGCUUACCAAGGCAACGAUGCAUAGCCGACCUGAGAGGGUGGUCGGCCACACUGGCACUGAGACACGGUCCAGACUCCUACGGGAGGCAGCAGUAGGGAAUCUUCCGCAAUGGGCGAAAGCCUGACGGAGCAACGCCGCGUGAGUGAUGAAGGUCUUCGGAUCGUAAAACUCUGUUAUUAGGGAAGAACAUAUGUGUAAGUAACUGUGCACAUCUUGACGGUACCUAAUCAGAAAGCCACGGCUAACUACGUG
rnacentral:rRNA from 1 species